UACGAAGGGGGCUAGCGUUACUCGGAUUGACUGGGCGUAAAGGGCGCGUAGGCGGUUUGUACAGUCAGACGUGAAAUUCCUGGGCUCAACCUGGGGGCUGCGUUUGAUACGUGCGGACUUGAGUUCGGAAGAGGGUCGUGGAAUUCCCAGUGUAGAGGUGAAAUUCGUAGAUAUUGGGAAGAACACCGGUGGCGAAGGCGGCGACCUGGUCCGAUACUGACGCUGAGGCGCAAAAGCGUGGGGAGCAAACAGG
rnacentral:rRNA from 1 species